CCUGGGCACGGUGAUGCAUGCCUGUAAUCCCAGCAGCUCAGGAGGCUGAGGCAGGAGGAUUGUGAGUUCAAAGCCAGCCUCAGCAAUGGCAAGGCACUAAGCAACUCAGUGAGACCCUGUCUCUA
rnacentral:sRNA from 1 species